GGCACGCGAGCUGGGUUCAGAACGUCGUGAGACAGUUCGGUCCCUAUCUGCCGUGGACGUUGGAGAUUUGAGGAAAGCUGCUCCUAGUACGAGAGGACCGGAGUGGACGAACCGCUGGUGUUCGGGUUGUCAUGCCAAUGGCAUUGCCCGGUAGCUAUGUUCGGAACGGAUAACCGCUGAAAGCAUCUAAGCGGGAAACUAACCUCAAAACCAGGUAUCCCUGAGAGCCGUGCAAGACCAGCACGUCGAUAGGCCGGG
rnacentral:rRNA from 1 species